GGUUGUGUAGUGUAGUGGUAUGAGUAUUGGACUACGACUCUAGAGUCCAUGGUUUGAUUCCCUGCUCAGCCA